AGGUAAGAAAGGCUAAAGAAAAGGAUAUAGGAUAAGAAAAAAGCAGCGCAAAGCGGGAGAGCCCCGUCUACGUCAUCCCCCGAAUUACGCCUAAAGGCUAACAUUUAUUUUUUAGUUCAUUUGAGGCAGCCCUUUUAACAAGGGUCGCGGUGAGCAGGUGCCUAACCCGGCAUACACAGGGCGCAAGGCGAGACUACACCCUGGACGGGACGCCAGUUCAUUUGAGAACUUGUUUAUGAUACAAUAAGAAAAUGUAUUUUCAGGUGGAAUUUAUUGAGAAUAAAAGUAUGAACAUUGUCCCUGAGACGGGUUGAGGAUGGCAUGACAUGGUGGCCCAACUACACAAAAGAUGACAGGAUCAACCGAGCUAUUCAAAAAAAAGAAAUUCCUGGGGAUGGCUGGACUCGCCAUGAUGUAAGAAUUUUGUUAAAAACAGAUGACUUUUUGAAAGCUUGCCAGAGAUACAAAGAAUCACUUCACUGCACAACAUCAGACUUGCAGUCUGAUGCUGGAGAGGACAUGCAGUCAUUAAUAAAGCGUAAAAGAAAAAGAAUUACAAAAUAUCAUUCUUGGCAACAAUUGGAGGGAGUGACUGUAGAAACACAGUCUGGAAUAUAUUGAAUCAUGUUAUACACAAUGAUCUUGCGAAAAAAAUUAAUUGGAAGGGAGUAAAUGAAAAAAGACCAUUCAAGAACUUGAUUGUCAAAUCAGUUAUUUUACGUGCAGUAAGAAGAAAUCCCUUGGCAGCAAAGGCCACCGAUAAAGAAAUUGAAAAUUUUAUUAUAAGAUGGUUCAAUCUUUCAUCAGACAGAGGUGGAGGUCGGAAGGCUAGGGAAAUUAACAAAUUGCAGAGACAGGCUGCAUCCACAUCCCACUCUACAAAUACUGCUGAGGACAGUGAAUAAGUAAUAAGGUUUUUAUAAAUUUUCAGUUCUUUAGUGCUGCAUUUUCAAGGAACCCACUAAUUGCACUUCAAGAGAUUCUAAAUAGUUUCUCCCAAAAUUAAAAUCCUGUUGCAUGUAGUUGUUGUUGUCUCAUUGUGGGGUUCAAUUUUAAGUACAGUAACCAACUAUGCAAACACCCCAAAAAAACAAACAACAUUGAUCAUAAAGUUGGAAACUGUUUUUUAUAUAUAUAUAAAGUUCCCUUCCACCCCACCCCCGCUUCUUUCUUUCUAACUAAUGUUUGCCAUAUGUUUCUCAGUCCUGGUCGUUUCUGUGUCCUUGUCUGUUGAACUCACAAUAACUUAAAUGAACUAGUUUAACUAACAAUGUGUUUCAUUUCAAGAUUCUUAUACAAUUCUAUAACCUAGACCAAAUUAAAACUUUGGCCCACUCACUAAUUACAAAUUACAAACCUGGUACUGAUGGAUUCCUUUUUGUUUGUUAGGAGGUUAUUCCUUCUACCCCAGAGGGAACCCACUGCCAUUAAUACUGGGUUUGUAAUUUGGACAAUCUUGAAAUAAAGUUUGUUUUUAAUUAUUAACAUAAAAUUAAUAACAUUGAGUCAAAAAUGCUAAAAUACAGUUGUUUUUUUUCUCUUCAGGCAAAACAAUCUACCACUGACAGAAUGGAUGGAUUACAUUCUGUCAAAAAUGGGGCAGGGAUUAUGUUAUGGGAUUUAUAGUGUUUAUUUUGUUUAUGAUCUUGUAAUCUUGUAUGUCUAGUUGGGAUUGCUCGU